rnacentral:rRNA from 1 species
AUUGAACGCUGGCGGCAUGCUUUACACAUGCAAGUCGAACGGUAACAGGCCGCAAGGUGCUGACGAGUGGCGAACGGGUGAGUAAUGCAUCGGGACGUGCCCAGUCGUGGGGGAUAACGCAGCGAAAGCUGCGCUAAUACCGCAUACGAUCUAUGGAUGAAAGCGGGGGACCGUAAGGCCUCGCGCGAUUGGAGCGGCCGAUGUCAGAUUAGGUAGUUGGUGGGGUAAAGGCUCACCAAGCCAACGAUCUGUAGCUGGUCUGAGAGGACGACCAGCCAAACCGGGACGGAGACACGGCCCAGACUCCUACGGGAGGCAGCAGUGGGGAAUUUUGGACAAUGGGCGCAAGCCUGAUCCAGCAAUGCCGCGUGCAGGAAGAAGGCCUUCGGGUUGUAAACUGCUUUUGUACGGAACGAAACGGUCCUGGUUAAUACCUGGGGCUAAUGACGGUACCGUAAGAAUAAGCACCGGCUAACUACGUGCCAGCCGCCGCGGAAAGAC